rnacentral:rRNA from 1 species
UACGAAGGGGGCUAGCGUUGCUCGGAAUCACUGGGCGUAAAGGGUGCGUAGGCGGGUUUUUAAGUCAGGGGUGAAAUCCUGGAGCUCAACUCCAGAACUGCCUUUGAUACUGAAGAUCUUGAGUCCGGGAGAGGUGAGUGGAACUGCGAGUGUAGAGGUGAAAUUCGUAGAUAUUCGCAAGAACACCAGUGGCGAAGGCGGGUCUCUGGACAGUUCCUGACGCUGAGGCACGAAGGCCAGGGGAGCAAACGGG